AUGGUAUGUACUGGCUUUACUGAUUUCCCUCCUUCUUGAAGAACUGUAAUGUCAUUAAUUUGGUUGUUGCAGGGAAACAGGACUGUUACUUUGAAAAAAUUAGAGUCGUUUAAAAGCAGAGCUAACGCUUGAAUACAUUAGCAUGGAAUAAUGAAAUAGGACGUUCGAUCCUAUUUUGUUGGUUUCUAGGAUUGACGUAAUGAUUAAUAGGGAUAGUUGGGGGCAUUAGUAUUCAAUUGUCAGAGGUGAAAUUCUUGGAUUUAUUGAAGACUAACUACUGCGAAAGCAUUUGCCAAGGAUGUUUUCAUUAAUCAAGAACGAAAGUUAGGGGAUCGAAGACGAUCAGAUACCGUCGUAGUCUUAACCAUAAACUAUGCCGACUAGGGAUCGGAUGAUGUUAAUUUUUUAAUGACUCAUUCGGCGCCUUACG
rnacentral:rRNA from 1 species